GAGGGUAUAGCUCAGUGGCAGAGCACAUGCUUAGCAUGCAUGAGGUCCAAGGUUCAAUCCCCAGGGCCUCCA
rnacentral:tRNA from 1 species